rnacentral:tRNA from 1 species
GAGCGGUAGUUAAGUCGGUCUAUAACGCCGGCCUGUCACGCCGGAGGCCGAGGGUUCGAAUCCCUUCCGCUCC